UGUUAGGAAAAAAAAAAAUGUUUGAUAAAGAAAUGCAUGCCAAAAUAUGGGACAUACAACACCACUAGAAAAUUGCAGAACACAGGCCAAGAAUAGUCUUCUAAUCACAGGUAUUUGGUCAUCGAAACAAGAAAAAUAUGUUCUCCAUGCUAACAGCACAUUUACCAGUGCGAUUUUUUAAAUGAUUAAAAGAAAACGCAAUUAAAAAGUACCCCGAGUUUUUGAGGACACCAAAUAGAUGUUUGCUGAAAUUCUCAAACCACUCAUUUUCAAAUCAAAGCCUGAUAAGAGUGCAUUGAACACCAAAAACAACAAAAAACUGAUUUCCAAAGGAGACAGAAAAUAAGAUGAGUCUGUGCUUCCUUUAUAUGCAAUCAUCUCUCUUAUAUCAUUUUUGUAAAUAUCGCUUCUCGACAAAAGUGUCAAACAUCAUUUUUUGAUCAAAUUACAGGAGAAUAAGACGGGAAUAAUCCAGAUGUGAAAUAUUAUCUAAACCACCAAAAGAAGCAUAAUCAAAUCAAAAUAGCCACCCCACAACUCCCUUUGACCAUCAAAUUUUCCCCGGAACCAAACAAGGAAUAGACUUGUAACAGCAGAUCCAAAUUCCUCUACAAGGUAGAAAAACAAUACUCGUAGUAGAAGAUAUAAGAAAAAGGAGUCAAAACCUUGA
rnacentral:misc_RNA from 1 species